AAUGUCCCAUUUUGCUGUUGAGUG
rnacentral:siRNA from 1 species